AGCAGAUUGGGAGUUAUAUUUCCCUUGUUUGGAUUGUUUUUGCUUAUUUGGAUUACUUGCCCUAUAUCAUUUUGGAAGUUCCACCAAGAUCAUUGGAUGGAGGUGUACAAGGUUUUUUUCUUAUGAUUCUUAUUAUAAGAGAUCUCUGCUCUUGUUACCUUCAUUUCCUUGUGUGUGCCAUGUUGUUUCUGCUCUGCCAUGCCUGUUUGUCAUCCCUGCCUUGGAGUUGGCUGAUUAUGGACUGAAACCUGUAUGAACUAAUCAUGGGAUGAAUGAAGUUCCUGAACCAAGGUACCAACGUAUUGCCAGUGUAUGAGAAAUGUGGACUUAGCCAAAGGUAGUGGCAAAAAUCUGUGAUCCAAGCUUUGAGGAGGCUGAGACAGAAGUCAUGAGAUUGAGGCCAGCUUGAGCUGCAUAGUGAAUUCACAGCCAACAUGAACUGUAUAGUGAGACCCUGUCAAAGAAAGAAAGAAAACAGGAAGAAAGAAGAAAAAGAAGGAAAGAGGUAGGAAAGAAGGAGGAAAGGAAAUGAGGAACUUUGCACUUUUGCUUAUGGAGACUACGUGGCAGGAACUGCAGGUGGCCUCUAGAAGUCAAAUACGGUCACUAGCCCAAAGUGGAACAAGAAUAUGUUUGCCUUAGCCUUACAGUUGCCAGAAAACAAAUCAAUGUCAAUCACUUGUGAACCUGAAUAGUACAGUAAGCCUCUAAUAGGAAUCAAAGCUGCAAAAGUUACCAUGAUUUCAACAUGGCAUCCUGAAAUACAAGGGCCAGUAAUACUGUAUUCCAACUUCUGAACCAAGUAUUAUUUUUUCCCCAAGGAUUGUUUCUUUAAAUCACUAUGUCUGUGAUAACUUGUGACUCAGAAAGUUAAUAAAAGUCAUUCUUACCUAAUGAGGCAGCAAUAGAAAAUCAAUUUUCCAUGUAAGAUUUAAUAUGACAUUCUUUCCUCAGGUUUGGUCUUUGAAAAAAAUCUACUAAGAAAAUAUCUAUAAAGAAAACAUCAAAUAUUUUAUUUCUAGGGGUGCCAUUAUAUUCAACAUAGAUUUGAAAUGCCCUGACUUUCUCCUCCCCUAUGAUAAAAAAUUGUCUAGAAAUAUGAAAAAAUAAUUUAUCAAAGAGUUAAUGAGUCAUACUUACCCCAUCGUCCACUCAUCACAAAACAGUAAAAUAUUGCAUUGCUCUGUAAAUGCUUCUCAAACCCGGGGGAUAAUCAGGGCUUUAUUUCCCUGGGAAAUUUAAUAUUCUCAAUUGUUUCAAAAAGAAGAAAUGAAUGUAUUAAGUAGGAUGGACUAGUUUUCUGUUUUCAAAUGUUCAGGAAUAUGAACAUUGCUUUGACUAGUUUUCUAAGAAAUAUAGCAUAGAAGUAUAUUGUGAUUUGGUUACAAAUAUAUUUUCAACCCAAUGUUCAAAGGUUAGAGAAUCUCUGAGACUCAACUAAGACAGAUAUUAAGAAUUUCAAAAGAAAGAAGGAAAAAAGAAUGGAGACCUUAGUCCGAUUCUUGUGAAAAGUUGUCAUUUGUUGCUGUAAGGAGGCACCUGCUAAGACUGAGCUGCUGUGGGUGGCGUUACCAAAAGAGUUGCCUCUCCCAUUACCAGCAGUUUUCACUUACAGUGAUUAACUUAAAUAUUCACUGGUUUAGAUAUGCUUACCAAAAUUCACAAAAUUAAGGAGUUAUUGAAGGAGUAAGUAUUGUCACACAUCUGUGAGUUGUUUCCUAAAGUGAUAGAGUUUAGCUAUCCACAGAAUCUAUGGAGACAUGUCAUCAUUUUCUUCUAUUCAAACCUGUUCACAAUCUCAAGAAAUAAUUCAAGAUGUCAUGUAUAUAUACCAAAUACCCACAAUGACUGUAAAUAGUGUGCCAUAGGCAUGAACUAGAAAAAAAAA